rnacentral:misc_RNA from 1 species
CUCAGCACUGAAGAUCCCGGUCCUUCCGGCGGUGACGCCUUUACAAUUGGUUUACCACCGGCCUGGGUGGAUGAUACUGAAGAAAUAGCUGCCAAUAUUCAGAUUGUCCGAACCAAAAUGGCUGAGUUAGUCAAGGUUCAUGCGAAAGCUUUAAUGCCUUCCUUUGGAGAUGGCAAAGAUGAUCAGCGAAGGAUUGAGGCC